UUUUAUGCUAACUCAUCUUUUCCUCCACAGUUUAGAUGAAAUACAACUUCAGCUCACUACUAAAUUUCACAGACAAUACUCUUUCUCUGGAGGUGCAGUGUGGUGGAAUAUGGUUUUUUCUUACAACCCACCAAUUAUUUUCAUGUCUUUUCUGGACCUUGAGAUCUCUUUGGGAGCCACAUUAGUCAGAAAUAAGCUGCUUCUAAGUAAGGAGAGAGCCUUUGAUACCAGGAAAACCUCUCUAUUUUCUGUCAUGGAAGAAGGAAUAUGCAAACAACUUUGA
rnacentral:lncRNA from 1 species